CGUAGGUGACCUGCGGAGGGAUCAUUACAAGUGACCCCGGCUACGGCCGGGAUGUUCAUAACCCUUUGUUGUCCGACUCUGUUGCCUCCGGGGCGACCCUGCCUUCGGGCGGGGGCUCCGGGUGGACACUUCAAACUCUUGCGUAACUUUGCAGUCUGAGUAAACUUAAUUAAUAAAUUAAAACUUUUAACAACGGAUCUCUUGGUUCUGGCAUCGAUGAAGAACGCAGCGAAAUGCGAUAAGUAAUGUGAAUUGCAGAAUUCAGUGAAUCAUCGAAUCUUUGAACGCACAUUGCGCCCCCUGGUAUUCCGGGGGGCAUGCCUGUUCGAGCGUCAUUUCACCACUCAAGCCUCGCUUGGUAUUGGGCAACGCGGUCCGCCGCGUGCCUCAAAUCGUCCGGCUGGGUCUUCUGUCCCCUAAGCGUUGUGGAAACUAUUCGCUAAAGGGUGUUCGGGAGGCUACGCCGUAAAACAACCCCAUUUCUAAGGUUGACCUCGGAUCAGGUAGGGAUACCCGCUGAACUUAAGCAUAUCAUG
rnacentral:rRNA from 1 species